rnacentral:sRNA from 1 species
CUUAGGAUUUCUAAAUGUAUUCUUUUUCAGCUUAAGAAAACAAUUAGGCAGCUACAUCAGACCAUGGUGCUCAUGACAAACACUGGAGGCCCAGAAGUAGAGAAAGAAUUUUAGUGUGCGUAUUAGUUCAAGGUUGUUGUUUUGUUUUCUUUUGUUUUUUGAGACGGAGUCUCGCUCUAUCGCCAGGCUGGAGUGCAGUGUGGUGCGAUCUUGGCCCACUGCAACCUCCGCCUCCCGGGUUCAAGCAAUUCUCCUGCCUCAGCCUCCCAAGUAGCUGGGACUACAGAAAUCCCCAGCUUCCUGACUGAUGAAGAGUGUCGGCUCAUCAUCCAUCUGGCGCAGAUGAAGGGGUUACAGCGCAGCCAGAUCCUGCCCACUGAAGAGUAUGAAGAGGCAAUGAGCACUAUGCAGGUCAGCCAGCUGGACCUCUUCCAGCUGCUGGACCAGAACCGUGAUGGGCACCUGCAGCUCCGCGAGGUUCUGGCCCAGACUCGCCUGGGAAAUGGAUGGUGGAUGACUCCAGAGAGCAUUCAGGAGAUGUACGCCGCGAUCAAGGCCGACCCUGAUGGUGA